UCGAGGGGUAUAAGGAGCUUGCUCCUUAGAGACCGGCGCACGGGUGCGUAACGCGUAUGCAAUCUACCUUUCACAGAGGGAUAGCCCAGAGAAAUUUGGAUUAAUACCUCAUAGUAUAUAUGGAUGGCAUCAUUUGUAUAUUAAAGUCACAACGGUGAAAGAUGAGCAUGCGUCCCAUUAGCUAGUUGGUAAGGUAACGGCUUACCAAGGCGACGAUAGGUAGGGGUCCUGAGAGGGAGAUCCCCCACACUGGUACUGAGACACGGACCAGACUCCUACGGGAGGCAGCAGUGAGGAAUAUUGGUCAAUGGGCGCAAGCCUGAACCAGCCAUGCCGCGUGCAGGAUGAAGCAUCUAUGGUGUGUAAACUGCUUUUGUACGGGAAGAAACAGAGGUUCGUGAACCUCCUUGACGGUACCGUAAGAAUAAGGAUCGGCUAACUCCGUGCCAGCAGCCGCGGUAAUACGGAGGAUCCAAGCGUUAUCCGGAAUCAUUGGGUUUAAAGGGUCCGUAGGCGGUUUGGUAAGUCAGUGGUGAAAGCCCAUCGCUCAACGGUGGAACGGCCAUUGAUACUGCCAGACUUGAAUUACUAGGAAGUAACUAGAAUAUGUAGUGUAGCGGUGAAAUGCUU
rnacentral:rRNA from 1 species